rnacentral:misc_RNA from 14 species
AAGUCUGCGUAUCUUCAUCUACUGUACUAUUACAUCGAGGAAUAACCGGAGGUCAAGAAGCCACGUCACAGGAUGCUCUCAACGAUGGUGCAUCACUUCGAUCCGAAUGGUUUUGUGAAAGAUGACUGGAAAUCAGGAGAUGCGACAACCGCUGAACCGCUGGUUGCCACGUCUUCAUCAUCGACGACGUCUUCUGAAUCGCACGUCACCACCGCUUCUACAUCGGCUCCGACGUCACCGAUUCUGGCUCCUCCGCCCAUUACGCUUCAAGACGUUAUGACACACGCUUCCACGGAACAUUUAACACCUAACGGUAGCACGAAUGGAAUAUCCACAUCACAACAGCAACAAUAUUCUGUUGAAUAUUUAUCUCAACUCUUGAAAGACAAAAAACAGUUGGCCGCUUUUCCAAAUGUAUUUCAUCAUUUGGAACGACUCGCCGACGAUGAAAUCAGUAAAGUUCGGGUAGCACUGUUCCAGUUUGAAUUCACAAAAGACAAUGUGACACUGCCGGAUGCAGAAGGAGAUAUUACGGUACACACAGAGAAGGUAUUUGUUCCGGCAAAGGAACACCCUGAUUAUAACUUUGUGGGUCGGAUACUCGGUCCACGUGGAAUGACAGCUAAACAACUGGAACAAGAGACCGGAUGUAAAAUCAUGGUUCGAGGUCGUGGAUCAAUGAGAGACAAGAAAAAGGAGGAGCUGAAUAGAGGAAAACCAAACUGGGAGCACCUUUCCGAAGAACUUCAUGUAUUGAUUCAAUGUGAAGAUACUGCAAACAGAGCGAAAGUGAAAUUGCUGAGAGCGAUGGAUGAGGUGAAGAAGUUGUUAGUGCCAGCACCAGAAGGAGAGGAUGAGUUGAAGAGAAAACAGUUGAUGGAAUUGGCGAUUAUAAAUGGAACAUAUCGAUCGGGAGCUGAUCAGAGUGCGUUGGCAGCUGCGCAGUUAGCAGCAGUUAAGCAACAGCCAUUGGUUGCUCUUCAAGCCGCAGCCCUCCAACGAGGUGUUCUUCCAAUGAUGGCUGCCAAUGGAAUCUCCCGAUCACCAACCAUGGCAGUUUGUGGAGCACCAAUCGUAAUGAGUCCUUCUGGAAGAGCCGCUUCUGCUGGAGCCACCGCCACGUCACAAGCUGCUUUGAUUAUGCAGCAACAGUCUCAACUACAGGCUGCAAACGCUGGAAAUGCGGCUGCUCUUCAACAACAAGCUGCUCUUCUGCAACAACAACAGGCAGAAUAUCAGCAGAUUCUUCUGGGCCAAGCCAGCCUCUACGAUUUCUCUGCCAUCCAACAGUACGCAGCAGGACAAAAUGCCGUUGCCGCUGCACAAGCUCAAGCUCAAGCCCAAUACGGAGCUCUUGCGGCAGCCGCUGCGAAUCAAGCUGGCGGACAACAGUAUGCAGAAUACGCUGGAGUAGAUUUAACGAGUCAACAAGGUGCACAUGGUGCAAUGCUUAACAACCGUCGUCUGUUGGGUGCCUCUCGUGAUCACCCCUACAAACAGUAACCAACCAACCACAACCACACCAUCACACCACUAUCUAUUUUCUCGUUUUUUGAUUUCUUACAUUAUAUUUCUGCUGCAAUUCUGAUCAACUACUUUUCACACAUUUUCACUUUCUCAACCAACCAAUCAACCGCUUUUCCCCUUUAAAAACUCCCGGGAAACUCAACUUUGUUCUUUUUUUUCAAAUUCCCUCCCUUUUCCUUUCUUUUUUUACCCCAGUGUUCCCUUUCCCUUUAGAGAUAUUCUUGUUCUAAAAAUGGGUGAUUUUUUUUCAAAUUUCUCACACACAACAAAAAGUGCCUUCAACACAACCUCUCUUAUCGAUAUUAUUUGUCUACAUUUUGUCAUAGUUUUUUGAUCCAUUUGCUCACAUUUUGUUUUUUUUUCUGACACUAACUAUGUAUCACACAUUUAGCCAAGCCUCUCUUUUCCACCCCUUCUUCGUUUAAUGCAUAUCCCUAGUCACGCCCCUUUUUAUUACAUUCAAUUGUAUAUUUUUUUUGAAAAAAACGACCCCAUAAUUUUGACUUCAAUUCGGUUUUACUGUCUCUUCAAUUCUGUGCCCAUUUUCCCCACAAAUCGUGCAUAAUCUUAUUUCCUGUAUUUCGUAGUGAGAAUUGUCUAGAAAUUUUCCUUUUUCUCCAUUCUUUGCCUGUAUUCAUUUCGGUUCCAUUUCUUGAUUCAAACCCCCCCUUCUGAUUUUUUUUCUUCUUGCACCCACAUUUUUAUUCAUCUUGAAAAGAUAAAUUGUUCAAAACGCUGGUU